UACGUAGGGUGCAAGCGUUGUCCGGAAUUAUUGGGCGUAAAGAGCUCGUAGGCGGUCUGUCACGUCGGCUGUGAAAUCCCGAGGCUCAACCUCGGGUCUGCAGUCGAUACGGGCAGGCUAGAGUGUGGUAGGGGAGAUCGGAAUUCCUGGUGUAGCGGUGAAAUGCGCAGAUAUCAGGAGGAACACCGGUGGCGAAGGCGGAUCUCUGGGCCAUUACUGACGCUGAGGAGCGAAAGCGUGGGGAGCGAACAGG
rnacentral:rRNA from 1 species